UACGGGGGGGGCAAGCGUUGUUCGGAAUUACUGGGCGUAAAGGGCGCGUAGGCGGUUCGCUAAGUUGAAUGUGAAAACUCUGGGCUUAACCCAGAGCCUGCAUCCAAAACUGGCGAACUGGAGUACUGGAGGGGAAAGCGGAAUUCCUGGUGUAGCGGUGAAAUGCGCAGAUAUCAGGAGGAACACCAGCGGCGAAGGCGGCGCUCUGGGCCGGUACUGACGCUGAGGAGCGAAAGCGUGGGUAGCAAACAGG
rnacentral:rRNA from 1 species